rnacentral:rRNA from 1 species
AUUGAACGCUGGCGGCAGGCCUAACACAUGCAAGUCGAGCGAGCGGCGGACGGGUGAGUAAUGUCUGGGAAACUGCCUGAUGGAGGGGGAUAACGACUGGAAACGGUUGCUAAUACCGCAUACCAUCAGCUUUGCCCAGAUGGGAUGUGCUAGUCGGUGGGGUAACGGCUCACCUAGGAGACGAUCCCUAGCGGGUCUGAGAGUAUGACCAGCCACACGGGAACUGAGACACGGUCCAGACUCCUACGGGAGGCAGCAGUGGUGAAUCUUGCACAAUGGGCGCAAGGCUGAUGCAGCCAUGCCGCGUGUGUGAAGAAGGCCUUCGGGUUGUAAAGCACGUUCAGCGGGGAGGCGUUACCCGCAGAAGAAGCACCGGCUAACUCCGGGCCAGCAGCCGCGGUAAUAC